rnacentral:rRNA from 1 species
AGUAGCUUGCUAUGAGCUGUUUUAGCGGCGGACGGGUGAGUAACGCGUGAGCAACCUUUCCCAGACAGGGGAAUAACACACCGAAAGGUGUACUAAUACCGCAUAAGACCACGGUUUCACAUGGAACUGAGGUAAAAGAUUUAUCGGUUUGGGGUGGGCUCGCGUCCGAUUAGGUAGUUGGUGAGGUAACGGCCCACCAAGCCGACGAUCGGUAGCCGACCUGAGAGGGUGGUCGGCCACAUUGGGACUGAGACACGGCCCAAACUCCUACGGGAGGCAGCAGUGGGGAAUAUUGGGCAAUGGGGGGAACCCUGACCCAGCAACGCCGCGUGGAGGAAGAAGGUUUUCGGAUCGUAAACUCCUGUCCUUGGAGACGAGUAGAAGACGGUAUCCAAGGAGGAAGCCCCGGCUAACUACGUGCCAGCAGCCGCGGUAAUACGUAGGGGGCAAGCGUUGUCCGGAAUAAUUGGGCGUAAAGGGCGCGUAGGCGGCUCGGUAAGUCUGGAGUGGAAGUCCUGCUUUUAAGGUGGGAAUUGCUUUGGAUACUGUCGGGCUUGAGUGCAGGAGAGGUUAGUGGAAUUCCCAGUGUAGCGGUGAAAUGCGUAGAGAUUGGGAGGAACACCAGUGGCGAAGGCGACUAACUGGACUGUAACUGACGCUGAGGCGCGAAAGUGUGGGGAGCAAACAGGAUUAGAUACCCUGGUAGUCCACACUGUAAACGAUGAAUGCUAGGUGU